rnacentral:lncRNA from 10 species
AUGGGUUUGAUGACAAAUGAUGUUGGGCCAGCCUGUUCCAAAAGCAAACCAAUACGGCCUUUCUGUGGGGGAGGCAUGAGUGUACUCCUUCUACCACAGGGACUCCCCAACACUGGCAUUGUCCAUGCCUUAUUCCACCACAGCAACAACAGAAAAUGCUUUGACAGCUGCUUUGGGUCAGAGGUAGCAGCACGGGGAGCUGAUGAUUCCAGGUCUAUGGUCACAGGCCCUGGAUUCUGA